rnacentral:lncRNA from 1 species
UGAGGUACCUGCGAUCAUAGAACACAUGAACUAAGCCGGGGGUUGAUCCGGCGGAAACCCCUCCGACGCUCAAGUCAGACGUGCUGAUCAUAGAAAAUAGUCCAGAGAAUACAGUUGUAGUAUUGCUCAGUUAAUAGGACGUACCUUAAUAAAAUGAGUAAAACCUCUAUUUAUAUGUCGUUUAUUGGGUUGGGUUUGCUUUGUUG